rnacentral:lncRNA from 1 species
UCAAUUUUAUGAUACAGUAUAAGAUUCAGCUUAAAUUAAUGUUUUCAUCUCAGUGAUUUUCUUAAAAGACUAUCUUUUUAUUUAUUGGCUUAUUACUGAAAAAUAGAUUCUUUAGGUUGAUAGUUUUUCUUUUCAUGUGUUUUUAUGUGUGGUGUGCAUACAUGUGAGUACACAUUUGUUUGGGUGUGCAUGUGUGUAUAGGUGUGAGCCUGUGGGAGCCUGAGAUUGCUGUCAGAAACCUUGCUCUUCUGUUUUACUCUUUGAGACAGGCUCUGUAGAAUCUCUUAUAAUCAAGCCUAGAACUUCUGAUAGGUCUCAUCUCGCUAGCUAGUUUGCUGGGAUGUUCUCUCUGCCCUCUGAGGCUGCGAUUACGGAGAACACCAUGUCCACCUGACAUUUAUGUGUGCGCUGGGGGUCAUUCUCUUAUUUGUAUAGGAUGUGCUUUUGCUGUUGAGUAAUCUCCUACUGCUAGGAUGAUUUUCUUUUUAAUUAAAAAUAUAUAUAUUUAUUUUUAUAUGUGUGCAUGUUUUGCCUGGUUUGUACCUGGUUCCUGCAGAGCCAGAAGAGAGCAUAGGAUCCCAGAAUGCUGGAGUUACAGGCAGUUACCAGCUGUGAUAUGGGUGCUGGGAACCAAACCUAGGUCCUUUGGAAGAGCAACAAGUACUCUAAACUGCUGAGCCAUCUCUCCAACUCCAGUAAUUUUUAAAAAAGCUUAUUUUGUUUUAAAUUCUGUGCAUAUGAUUGGGUAUGUGCAUUUGAGUGCAAGUGCUUGUGGAGGCCAGAACCCUGGAUACCAGGUGAUUGUGAGCUGUGACGUGGCUUCUGGGAGCCAGACACAUCUUCACAAAAGCAGUUUGGCCCCCUAGUUGAUACUUUUUAAGGAUUUUAUUUGCCCUGAUUUCUAUUCAAAAUAAACAUUCGUCUUCUGUAGCCAUACCAAACAUCUUUUAUAGUAAAAAUAAAUAUGACAGCAAUUAUAUAAUUUUUAAACAUGUCAUGCAAACUAUAUAUAUAUAUAUGUGUGUGUGUGUGUGUAUAUACACAUGUAUACAUAUAUAUGUGUGUGUAUAUAUGCAACUCAGGUAUAUAAAAUAAUCUUAUGGUAAAAAUUGGGACUUGUUAUCUCUGAAGCAGGAAGCCUAUAGAAUUUAUUAAAUCCUGGAAGCUACAGCUUCUAUAACUAUGUUGUAUUUUUACUGGUUAGUCCCCAACACAAAGAAAUAUACCCAAAUGUCAGUAAUAUGUAGUUUUUUUCUCUUGAUACUGAAUUCAUAAUAGUUUGAAAGUUGAGAAUGAGAUACAUAUUUUAUUGUUUGAAGUGUAUUAUUCUUGUUCAUCAAUGAGUUUUCUUGCACUUGCUAUUUUUUGGAGAGAGUAGGAGAAUAAUUAUUAGUUAAAGUCAUUGUCAAAGUGUUGGCAACUUGGGUUUUUUGGCAUGUGAUUUAGAGGAAAGUAAAAGAUAUUUUGUUAAUAGGUUAUAUUUAGACCUACAAAAGAUUGAAAUUUAAACAGUUGCAAAAGCAAGACAUGUGUUUGAUAAUUGGUAUAUAAAAAGUAGGUAUUUAAAAAUUCUACAUUAUGUGAUACUUAGCCAGAUGUUUUUUAUUAACCAAUAAUUAGGACUAGCCAGAUGUUUUUUAUUAACCAAUAAUUAGGAGUGAGGACUAUAUUUAAUUUUUAUUUGUACCUAAUCCUUUUAUUUAGGUUUUGGAGAUAAGGCUACUACUGUGCAGCUCUAGAACCUGCUUUGUAGCCCAGGCUGACCUCAGACUCAUGCUUGUUCUCGCUUAGCCCACCAUGCGCAUCCCAUGCCUGACUGCCCAUCAUUUGAUCAAUAUUAGAUGAAAGGAAACUACAUUUAGGAAAAGGGAACUUGUAAUUUUAUUUUGUUAUGGUAAAACUUUUUCUCAUUUCUUUAUCUGUGGUGGGAGUCAUUUCUUUGUGAGACACAGUAUCGUAAGUAGGAAGACAUUCACUUGAGAAAAAUAAAUUAGAUUCUAAAUUGGAGGCCUUGAAAUCUAUCUACCCUUGGCUCUCACAUAUACUGAAUGGUGACAGAUUCUUUUUCUUUGUACCCUACUUUUACUUUCUAAUUUUGACUUACCUACUGAAGAUGUUGAGAAAAGUCUUGUAAACGAAACCAAAUUAUUUUUGCUUGUUUUUAAGAGAAGAAAAAGAAGUUGAGAUCUUGCAGCAAGAACAGAAAUUGAGAAAGAAGACAGCAAGUACUUUGAUUUUACAAGCCUUAGUGACAAGUUUGAAGCUCACUGUUUUUGCAUGUGUGGUAUUAUUUCUAGGAAUAUGAAGAGAUGGCAAAAUAAAUAACAUUUGAAAAAACAUUAGGAGACACCUAGACAAAAUUAAUAGUGUUGGAAUAGUUUUAGAUGAUACUAUAAAGGAUAUCAGAGAAAAAAACAAAAUAAUAAU